UACAGAGGGUGCAAGCGUUAAUCGGAAUUACUGGGCGUAAAGCGCACGUAGGCGGCUUUGUAAGUUAGAGGUGAAAGCCCGGGGCUCAACUCCGGAACUGCCUUUAAGACUGCAUCGCUUGAAUCCAGGAGAGGUGAGUGGAAUUCCGAGUGUAGAGGUGAAAUUCGUAGAUAUUCGGAAGAACACCAGUGGCGAAGCGGCUCACUGGACUGGUAUUGACGCUGAGGUGCGAAAGCGUGGGGAGCAAACAGG
rnacentral:rRNA from 1 species